rnacentral:rRNA from 1 species
AUUGAACGCUGGCGGCAGGCCUAACACAUGCAAGUCGAACGGUAGCACAGAGAGCUUGCUCUCGGGUGACGAGUGGCGGACGGGUGAGUAAUGUCUGGGAAACUGCCCGAUGGAGGGGGAUAACUACUGGAAACGGUAGCUAAUACCGCAUAACGUCUUCGGACCAAAGUGGGGGACCUUCGGGCCUCACACCAUCGGAUGUGCCCAGAUGGGAUUAGCUAGUAGGUGGGGUAAUGGCACACCUAGGCGACGAUCCCUAGCUGGUCUGAGAGGAUGACCAGCCACACUGGAACUGAGACACGGUCCAGACUCCGACGGGAGGCAGCAGUGGGGAAUAUUGCACAAUGGGCGCAAGCCUGAUGCAGCCAUGCCGCGUGUAUGAAGAAGGCCUUCGGGUUGUAAAGUACUUUCAGCGGGGAGGAAGGCGUUAAGGUUAAUAACCUUGGCGAUUGACGUUACCCGCAGAAGAAGCACCGGCUAACUCCGUGCCAGCCGCCGCCGUAA